rnacentral:tmRNA from 1 species
GGGGGCGAAAGGUAUCGACCGGCCAGAAGUGUUGAACAUGGCGUGCCGACCUGUCAUGCAAGUCGUAAAACUGCGUGGCACAAAUUUUAAAUGCCGAGAACUUCAAGUUCCCGGUCGGGGGCGCAAGCCUCCGGCUCGCUGCCUAAGAGAUUAGCCAGCCGAUUCGCUUGUGAUGUCUGCGUCACGGGAUGAAUCGUCACUUAGCAGACUGCUGAAUGCGUAACGUUUGCCGACGCGUUCUUAAGACACAGGGUGAGCUGGCCGCGGAUGAAGUCAGGCCAUCGACGUCAUCCGCGGUGAGAUUAAAAUGUGGCCUACGCAUGUAGAGGUGUUCAUCAACCUUGCUCGGGACGAGGGUUCAACUCCCUCCGCCUCCAUUU